AUUGAACGCUGGCGGCAUGCUUUACACAUGCAAGUCGAACGGUAACAGGCCUUCGGGUGCUGACGAGUGGCGAACGGGUGAGUAAUGCAUCGGAACGUACCCAGAGGUGGGGGAUAACGCAGCGAAAGCUGUGCUAAUACCGCAUGUGAUCUGAGGAUGAAAGCGGGGGACCGAGCAGCAAUGUUUGGCCUCGCGCCUUUGGAGCGGCCGACGCCGGAUUAGCUAGUUGGUGGGGUAAAGGCGUACCAAGGCGACGAUCCGUAGCUGAUCUGAGAGGACGAUCGGCCACACUGGAACUGAGACACGGUCCAGACUCCGACGGGAGGCAGCAGUAGGGAAUCGUCCGCAAUGGGCGAAAGCCUGACGGAGCAACGCCGCGUGAGUGAUGAAGGUCUUCGGAUCGUAAAACUCUGUUAUUAGGGAAGAACAUAUGUGUAAGUAACUGUGCACAUCUUGACGGUACCUAAUCAGAAAGCCACGGCUAACUACGUG
rnacentral:rRNA from 1 species